rnacentral:lncRNA from 1 species
GCCUUACUUAGGAAGGAAUCAAAAAUAGGAAGAAAGAGUUAAAAAACAGGAAGAAAGAAGUGCACAAGAUUUUGUGUGCCUAAGAGAAAGCCUGUGUUAUUCCAUUGACUCACACAACUUUCAGCAGAGAGAAUUGAUAAACAGAGGUCUGUUUCUAAAAGUCAAUUUCUACUGAUUAAUCUACAGUUCUUUUCAAGUCAUUAAAUAUGAAAAUCACUCUAGUGCUACUUAGCAAUAGAGGAGAACUCUAUUGGAUCACAUUAUGUUUAUACAGUGAUUUAUAAACUGUCAUCUGCUUAAAUUUGGGAUCCUGUUCAAAGUAUGCACUUCCUUGCAGGAUUCAGAGAGAAGGAUGCAAAGGCUUGAAAAAGAAGAAAUGGAGAUAAAAUCUGGAGGCUUUGAAUGGACAGGAGAUGUGUCAAGGAGGAAAAAAAAGAAAAAGUACUUACAUCAUAGCAGAAAAAUAAACAAAGAUAUAAAAUUACCCUGAGAGGAGAAAUUACAGCCUAAACCCACAAGUGGCUAAUUUCAAUGUAGUUAUCAGUGGGAGGAGUGCACCUGAGAGACAACAGUGGUUUUCCAGUUGAAUCACAAGACAUUGGAAGGUGAAAUAAGGUAUUUUGUGUUUUAGGGAAAAUACAGGUAUUUGUGUUUUAUGGAACAGUGGUUUUCCAGGUGAAUCACAAAACAUUGGAAGGUGAAAUAAUGUAUUUUGUGUUUUAUGGAAAAUACAAGGUGAAUGUUUACCUUACAUGGGGGCUUUGUCUGAUUAUCUAUAAAGACUA